rnacentral:rRNA from 1 species
UACGAACUGUGCAAACGUUAUUCGGAAUCACUGGGCUUACAGGGUGCGUAGGCGGCUUGUCAAGUAGGGUGUGAAAGCCCCCGGCUCAACCGGGGAAUUGCGCUCUAAACUGUCGAGCUGGAGUGAGAUAGGGGUGUGUGGAACUUCCGGUGGAGCGGUGAAAUGUGUUGAUAUCGGAAGGAACGCCGGUAGCGAAAGCGACACACUGGGUCUUUACUGACGCUGAGGCACGAAAGCCAGGGGAGCGAACGGG